AUUGAACGCUGGCGGCGUGCUUAACACAUGCAAGUCGAACGAAGUGGCGAACGGGUGAGUAACGCGUAAUCAACAUGCCCUUCAGAGGGGGACAACAGUUGGAAACGACUGCUAAUACCGCAUACUGAAGGAGGGGAUUGCGUUUGAUUAGCUAGUUGGGGGGGUAACGGCCCACCAAGGCGAUGAUCAGUAGCCGGGUCGAGAGGAUGAACGGCCCAAUUGGGAGUGGAGCAAGGCCCCGACCCCUACGGGAGGCAGCAGUGGGGAAUCUUCCGAAAUGGGCGGAAGUCUGACGGAGCAACGCCGCGGGAGUGAUGACGGCCUUCGGGUUGUAAAGCUCUGUUAAUCGGGACGCGGUACCGGAAUAGAAAGCCACGGCUAACUACGUGCCAGCAGCCGCGGUAAUAC
rnacentral:rRNA from 1 species